GACUCACCCCGACUCUCUCUCUCUCUGACUCUCUCGCUCUCCGACUCUCACUCUGGCUCACUCCACAGCUACCCCGACUCACUCCACAAUCCUAAACCCUAAAUCCACCACCUCCAAAGCGAAGCCUUCGAAGCCCUAAAUGGGAGAUUUCUCUUAGAAUCCAAUUGGGAUCAUAUUUUGACGUGGAUUCAUAUCGAAGUAGCCUUAGACUUGGAUUCACGUCGGAGCCCUAAACAAUUUCAUCAUCUCGAACUUCGAUUCACGCCUUUGAUUCGAUUUGUCUCGAACUUGCUUUCGCUCUUAUGCUAUGCAGUUGGUAUGGAAAUUGAUAAAUGCUUUCGCUCUCAUGAGUUCAUGGCCUGAAAGAAUAUUUUGA
rnacentral:lncRNA from 1 species